GUAGUAUUCCCUCCGUCCCAAAAUUCUUGUCUUACAUUUGUUUAGAUACAAAUGUAUCUAACACUAAAAUGUAACUAGAUACAUCCACAUUUAGACAAAUUUAAGACAAGAAUUUUGGGACGGAGGGAGUACAAA
rfam:Triticum aestivum genome assembly, contig: Triticum_aestivum_CS42_TGACv1_scaffold_582177_7BL